UUGGGACCCGUGGUUCUGGGAGUUGUCCUAGUGGCUACAGGCAGCCCUUGGGGUUGAUGUUUGUGGCUGCGUGGUAGGAGCUCGUCAAUUGUGCUUUGGCUGUGGCCACAAUGAGUGUGCUGUGACUGCAAGACCAGUUCAUGCAGAAAUGUGAGGAAUGCUCCAUCGGUUUCAACUGUCACUGAUGGCAGAAAAGGUACGAUAACUUACUCAGGCUUCUAUGACAGCUUAGAACAAGUCUGUCAUUUUAAAUUCUGUGGUGGUAUUGCAGAGGUCCACGAUCAAGAUGGUGAAACAUUGAGAGCCAACCACAUGGAAAUCCUAAAUCAUUAGCUUACACAUCUCUCCAGUUUAUUAAAAUGCCCAUCUGGCAUCUCUGCCCAAGCAUUAAAUGAAGUUCUCCAGCUGCCUACCCAAGAGCAUCUGGCAUGAAAACUUGUGUCUGUGCUGUAACUACCACAGAGAAGGGCAGUAGGCACUUGUGAUGCUUCUGCUGGAAUGUUUGGGAAGAGAACACUACCUGGCGUCACAAAGGCACAGCUACUUAUGGACACCAAGAAAUUCAAGGUUUCACGCUUUAAACUCUACAAGAAGGUUACAGCUCACUCUUUGGAAGUCAUCUGUUGCUUUUUGCAAGGAAAAAGGAACUUCUACCUUUGGACACAGGGCCAGAAGACCCAAUGGGCCCGCAUGUUGAUUCCCCAUUGUCUGAGAGCCAAGAGGGGAUCCGCUCCCCUUAUCGUUCCGCUGAACAGCUUGACCUGAGCACUUCUGUAAGGAAAACUGAGGCUCUGCUUCAGCCUCUUUGAGGAAAACAUGAAUGUGAGCAGCACGAGCUUGCUGUUUGUAGAUGAUUUCUGCUACUUCUGCAUGAAGUUGUCUGAAUGCUGUGGUUGACGACUCAGUCGUGAAAGGGGAUAACAAAAGUCAGAGCAGCAUUUCUGAGAUUAAAGCAGUUUCUGGAAU